UACGGAGGGUGCGAGCGUUGUCCGGAAUCACUGGGCGUAAAGGGCGCGUAGGCGGCCUGAUAAGUAGGGGGGUGAAAAUCCUGCGGCUUAACCGCAGGGCUGCCUUCUAAACUGUCGGGCUAGAGCACGGUAGAGGCAGAUGGAAUUCCCGGUGUAGCGGUGGAAUGCGUAGAGAUCGGGAAGAACAUCAGUGGCGAAGGCGGGUCUGCUGGGCCGUUGCUGACGCUGAGGCGCGACAGCGUGGGGGAGCAAACAGG
rnacentral:rRNA from 1 species